UGACGGUACCUGACUAAGAAGCACCGGCUAAAUACGUGCCAGCAGCCGCGGUAAUACGUAUGGUGCAAGCGUUAUCCGGAUUUACUGGGUGUAAAGGGAGCGUAGGCGGUUUUAUAAGUCUGAAGUGAAAGCCCGGGGCUCAACCCCGGGACUGCUUUGGAAACUGUAGAACUAGAGUGUCGGAGGGGUAAGUGGAAUUCCUAGUGUAGCGGUGAAAUGCGUAGAUAUUAGGAGGAACACCAGUGGCGAAGGCGGCUUACUGGACGAUUACUGACGCUGAGGCUCGAAAGCGUGGGGAGCAAACAGGAUUAGAUACCCUG
rnacentral:rRNA from 1 species